AAAUAAGAAACAAAAUAUUUGUAUUUAGUUUCGACCUAAAAAUUUGAUGUAAUU
rnacentral:tRNA from 1 species